UACGUAGGGUGCAAGCGUUAAUCGGAAUUACUGGGCGUAAAGCGUGCGUAGACGGUAGCGUAAGUCGGGUGUGAAAGCCCCGGGCUCAACCUGGGAAUUGCAUUCGAGACUGCUCUGCUAGGGUGCGGAAGAGGGAAGCGGAAUUUCCGGUGUAGCGGUGAAAUGCGUAGAUAUCUGGAGGAACACCGGUGGCGAAGGCGGCAUCCUGGACCGGUAUUGACGCUGAGGCGCGAAAGCCAGGGGAGCAAACGGG
rnacentral:rRNA from 1 species